rnacentral:rRNA from 1 species
UACGAGGGGGGCGAGCGUUGUUCGGAAUUAUUGGGCGUAAAGGGUGCGUAGGCGGUUCCGCAAGUCCUGUGUGAAAUCUUCGGGCUCAACUCGAAGUCUGCACGGGAAACUGCGGGGCUUGAGUGUGGGAGAGGUGAGUGGAAUUCCCGGUGUAGCGGUGAAAUGCGUAGAUAUCAGGAGGAACACCUGUGGUGUAGACGGCUCUCUGGACCGCAACUGACGCUGAGACACGAAAGCGUGGGUAGCAAACAGG